AACAAUUUGGUGGAGAAUGCGGGCAUGAAAGGGAUACGUUACUAAGGCAGCCGUCAGAUCCCAAGACAGGAGAGCAAAGGAUCCCCAGAGAUUGGAAACGGAGCCUGAUCACCUCUGCAUGUGGUAAAUGAGUUACUUACCUAUAUUUUCCUUUCUUUGGAUUUCUCUUGUUCUCCGUGCCUUCACAUUCGGCUUCCGGUGUUUAACGUCUUCAGACAGGUAAUAUAGAUAUGCCCGAAUGUCCCCUUUUAUAUAGAACCUGUCACUUGUCUAUCUACAGCCUGAGUCCUGAGUGUGAGUUUUAUGUGUGAAAGUGUCUGUUUGAGAAUCUGUUUUACUACUUGCUUAAUACUGUUAUAUAAUGCUGCCAAGUGUGGUUAAGCACUUGCAGGUUUAGCCAAGUUCGGGUUUGGUGGAAAACCCCUGGCUCUAUAUUUAUUUUAGCUAAGCUUCGGUAAAGAAGUUAUUGCGAGACUCGGUCAAGAGUUUAAAAAUAAAUAAAUAAAAUAAUUAAAAAAAAAUAAAUAAAAAUAAAAAAAAAAAAAAAUUAUUUUAGCUAAGCUUUGGUAAAGAAGCUAGUGAGUGAUGUUUUGGCCUCGUUUGGUAAAAAACCUGGCGGUUCCUUUGUUUUAUUAAGACUCGGUCAAGAGUUUAAAUAGCUAAGCUUCGGUAAAGGAGCGGUUUAUGUGCUUGAGUGUUUCUGUGUGUGUGAUUUGAUUUAUUAUAAGCCGGCAUUUAUUUUAAGAACUUUGUGAUUUAAUUGCAUCUGUAUAUUGUGCUUUUGCAUGUAAAUGUCUUGUCGGGUACCAUAUAUGUUAAUUGUUCUAUAUUUUCUCUGUGUCUUGUAGCGCUCCUAUUCUAUCUUUUGUACUGAGGAGAGCUGUGCUUAGGCACUUACAUGGUUAAAUACUUCGUGCUUGCAACUCUGCUUCACCCUCUCCUCCCCCCUCCCUUUUUUUUUGCAUCACUCUGGUUCUCUGUGCUCUGCUAGGACGUACAUGUGACCUUGAUGCACGUUUCCCUUAAUCUAUAACUCCUAAACCUCUCUCUCUCUCUCUCUCUCUCUCUCUCCCUCUCUUUCUCUUUCAGUCAGUCUCUUUCUCUCUCUCUAUCCCUCUCUUUCUCUUUCAGUCAGUCUCUUUCUCUCUCUCUAUCCCUCUCCUUCUCUUUCAGUCAGUCUCUCUCUCUUCCUAAACCUCUUUCUCUCAGUCUCCCUCUCACCUUAUCUCCCUCAGCCUCUUGCUCACUUUCUCCUACACUCUCUCUCUCUAUCACUCUUUUUGUCUCCCUUACUUUCACACUCUUCCCCCACUCUCUCGCUCCCUCAUUCUCUCUACCUCAGUCUCUCUCUCUCUCUCUUUCUCUCUCUAUCUCUCAGUCUCUCACUCUCUUUUGGUCCAGGGUCUGCUUCUCUCUAUCCAUACCACUGUUGUGUAUAAAUGGGUCAAACUAAUGUUAGCCCUUCCCGGGGUCGGUUAGCAUGUGACCUUGUAAAGGAAAGAGCUGGGGACUUAGCUGUAGCCAAACUUAAGAAAAUUAUUAAACUGUGUGGUAUUACUAUGUCCCACAGUGGCAUAUUGCAGGCGGAAGACUGGAGGAAACUUUUAAACGAUAAACAUGGGAUAUUGUUAGAUAAUGGGUUAAUGAAGGCCGCAGAUUCUUGGUAUCGGGUGGCUCGAGGGAUUAAGAAGGAGGGGUGGAUUGAGGAGGAGAUAGACCUAGAGGGGAAGAAAGUCUUUGUAUAUCAUGAAAAAUGUUGUUUUGUUGAAUCUGUUGAAGGCGUUUCCAGCCCUCCUCCAUAUGAUAAGGCCUGGCCAGAAAGGGGGGUGGCUCAACCAGCCCCUGGAGCCCCCACACAGCCCAUUCAUGUUAACACAUGCUCUCCAGCCCCUGCUGCCUUGUACCCUGUCCUUAAGGCAGACGGUUCAUGUUACUUUCCAGCCCCCUCUCCUUCUCCACUCCAAAUCCCAGUCACACAUUCCCUUCCUGUUUCUUUGCCUCCUCCUCUCUUGCCCAUCUCUGCUGCUACACCCUCUCUUCCAACUCCUGUUGCUUCUGUCCACGCCCAAUUCCUUUCACAUCUCCCUAUAACUUCUGCCCUUUCACUGUCACCAUUUCCUGUUUCUAACACACCCAUCCCUUCCAUGAUGGUAACUUCCCCUACCAACACCCCUGUGGUCGCUUCCUCCCUCCCUUCUGUAUCCUCUUCCAUUCCCGCCCAUCUCAUAACUGCCCCCAGUGUAUCUUUCCCUAUUAUGACUAUUGGAUCCACUGUUCCUGCAGCAUCAGGCUAUCCUCCUGCUGUACCCCUGCAGCAUCAGGCUAUACCCCUGCAGCAUCAGGCUAUCCUCCUGCUGUACCCCUGCAGCAUCAGGCUAUCCUCCUGCUGCUACCCCUGCAGCAUCAGGCUAUCCUCCUGCUGCUACCCCUGCAGCAUCAGGCUAUCCUCCUGCUGCUACCCCUGCAGCAUCAGGCUAUCCUCCUGCUGCUACCCCUGCAGCAUCAGGCUAUCCUCCUGCUGCUACCCCUGCAGCAUCAGGCUAUCCUCCUGCUGCUACCCCUGCAGCAUCAGGCUAUCCUCCUGCUGCUACCCCUGCAGCAUCAGGCUAUUAUCCUGCUACCUCCACUGCUACAUCAGUCACUUCUCCCCCUGCCUCACAACUUGAUUCGGUCCACAUUACUCCUACAGUUAGUCACCCUGCGGCCAGUACUACUGUUGGACCGAUUUCAGUUCUUCCUGACAUGGCUUGUGUAUCCAGCCAACAGAUUCCCAUUCCCCCUGCUGAUGGUAGUGUCCAGGGGGUGCAGUCUCCACAGACCCCGACUAAUCUGCCUCACAUUGCCAUAGCAGGUGCUUGCAGUACCCAGCAUGAUCAGGAGGGUGCCCCUUUAAUGUAUGUUACCUUCAACCCGUCCCAAGCUGCAACACUAGUACACUCACUCCCUGACCCUGAGAAACAGCCCAUGCCCUUUUUCCGUCGGAUUGUUCAAAUCCGUAAAACUUACUCUGCAGCAUGGCGUGAUUUGUUUAGUCUGUGUGAAAUUAAGGCAGGGGAUGCUUACUGGCCCAUAAUGGAAAAGAGUUUUGAUGAUGCCCGUCUCACUACAGACACGGAUUAUCAGUCUGGUAUCACAUUUUGUGAACAACUCCGUGCAUGGGCUCAAGAUAAGUUGACUGAUCAGGCUACUUCUAUUGCUGAUAUUGUUCAAGAAAAAUCAGAAACGGUUGAAAGAUUUCAUUCCAGGUUAACUCAAACCUUUUCCGAUCUGGGUUUCAAUACAUGUAAUAAGGCCCACACCCAGAUGCUAUCAGCUGCUUUCGUUGCAGGCCUUAAAGAACCUAUAAGGAAAGGCCUGGUCCUGUCCCGUCCCGAAGUCAGGAUAAUUCCCAUGGAUACUCUCCUCCUGGUCGCUAAAGGCCUGGAGUCGAUCCAAUUGCCCCAGCACAAGAAAUCCACUCCUUUAAUGUUUACAUUACAUGACCCUGCAAUUACACCUGCCCCUGUUGGGUUCCCUGUUACCACACUACCGGGCCCUUUCAUGACUCAGGUUCCAAGACCACAAGGUCGAACUUGUUUUCACUGUAAGCAACUAGGUCAUUUUAAGAAGGAUUGUCCAGGUUUUCCAGCACCUCGGCAGCGCACACAGGCUCUACGGCCACCGUAUCCUGUGGCCGGUUAUCCUCCUACUCAAGCGCUAGGUUAUCCGACACAUGAUUCCAAUUAUGCUAACUAUACUACUUAUUAUCCGGAUGACCGAGCCUCAGCCAAUUAUCUGCCCUCUAAUCGUCCUAUGCCUAGACACCGACGCCCUGCACAGCAUGCUCAACAACCAUACUACCCAACUACACCUACACGUACAUAUCCUGGUCCUGACCAGUCUCAUAUUGAUCUUGUCCAAUAGGUAACAGGCAAACCUGUGUCCAAUGCCCCUGUCAUGGCAGUGUAUACAGGGGAUAAAGGGGGGCCCCUAGCUACAGUGGUCCUACCUGUGGAAGGCUGCCCAACCACCUUCUUAGUUGACACAGGCGCAGCCCGUAGCGUACUUAGAGCAUGUGACCUGCCUGACGAUUCCUUUCUCUCUAAUAUAGAUGUUUCCUGUAUAGGUGUAGACGGUACCCCUCGUAGCAACCCAUUAACUAAGCCCUUGCGGGUGGGUACUUUCCCUGAUCUCCUUACUCGUUUUGUAGUGUCUCCCUCUUGUCCUCUUAAUUUGUUGGGAGCUGAUGUUCUGUCCCGCUUGCAGGCCUCCAUCUCCUUUACUCCAGAUGGCAAGGUUCAGUUAUUGACCCCUCUCUCCAGUGAAGAUACCUCAGCCCUUUGUUCUUUACCCCUCCUACUCCACAUGGAAUCACCCCAUGGAAAUGCAAGGAUCCUAGACAACUCCCCCAGUGCACUUGACAGAGUUCCUGUGCAACUGUGGUCUACUGGUCCCGAUGAUAUUGGACGACUUAAAGUCCCUCCGAUAUUUGUGCAGUUACUCCAAGGAGCAAGUCCGCCCAGAAGACCACAAUAUCCAUUGACACCUGCUCAGGCCCUCUCUAUCUCCAAACAGGUUGAAACUCUGCUGGCUGCGGGUGCACUGAUUAAAUGUGUGUCGCCUUGUAACACUCCUUUGUUUCCAGUAAAGAAAAAGACCGAAAAGGGCGAACCGGACAAGUACAGGAUGGUUCAAGACCUCAGAGCAGUUAAUGAUGUUACCGUCUUGGAAACUCCCAUUGUUCCAAAUCCUCAUACUCUUCUAUCCCAGGUCCCUCCUUCAGCUAAAUUCUUCACGGUGGUGGAUUUGGCCAAUGCCUUCUUCAGCGUGCCUUUGCAUCCCUCUUGUCAAUACCUGUUUGCAUUUACCCAUGACCGCCAACAAUAUACCUGGACAGUCAUGCCCCAGGGAGCACAAAAUUCCCCAAGCCAGUUUGCAAGAGCCAUGGCAUACAUCCUGGAACCAUGGCAGAAAUCUCACACAGAGGUGGUCCUCCUGCAAUACGUGGACGAUCUCCUUCUCUGUGCUGACGAUCUCCCGACUGCAGAAUGUGUCUCUGAAGAUUUCCUCUGUUUCCUGGCCGCCCAAGGUUGUAAAGCAUCUAAGAAGAAAUUGCAGUGGUGCCGACCCUCGGUGAUAUUUUUAGGGCAUUGUCUUUCUCAUGGCACCCGGCACCUUACUAGAGACAGAGUGCGGGGUAUCACAUCACUCUGCCCUCCAUCGGCUCACAAGUCCCUCCAUGCCUUCCUAGGUCUUAUCUCUUACUGUAGAGCCUGGAUUCCUGAAGCCUCUACACUGAUGCAGCCACUCUACGAUGCCCUCAAAACUGAACAGUUUGAUUUAUCUCCUGAAGCCCUUACCAACUUCUUCGCAUUACGACGUGCUGUUGUUACUGCUCCUGCUCUGGGCCUUCCCAAUUACGAGAAGCCCUUCAAGCUCUUUGUCUACGAAAAAAUGGGACAUGCAUCUGGUGUUCUCACUCAGUCUCAUGGGUCUCGUCAACGUCCAAUAGGGUAUUACUCCUGUCAGUUGGAUCCUGUGGCCAGGGGAGGACCCUCCUGUCUUCGGGCUGUAUUUGCGGCAAGUGCUCUACUGGACAAGACGUGUGACAUAAUCCUUGGUCACAAGCUAACCAUUCUCGCCCCCCAUGAUCUUUCUGCAAUAUUGAAUCAAGUUCAACCUAAACAUCUCUCUACUCAAAGGCAUCUUCGUCUCCAAACAACUUUAAUGUUACCCGAUAAUGUCUCCUUACAGCGAUGUUAUACUUUGAAUCCUGCCACUCUUCUGCCGCUUCCCAAGGGGGGAGUACCACACUAUUGGUACGGUCUGAACAUAGAUCCUGAUGCCUUCCUUGAUCUGGAUGUCCAUAUGCCCACAGUAACACACGAUGAACAGCCAUCUCCUCUAUGGCAUUGUACUUUGUGGUUCAGAGACGUUCCGGGGCCUGACCCUCAGUAUGAAGAAGAACUGUUUCAAUUGAUUCAAGUACGCCUCACCUUGACAGACAUAUACUGUGAUACAAAAGGUAACACUGUAGUGUUAGUUCAAUUACCCACAGAAGUGACUCAUAUGUACCACCAUUGGGAGAUGGCAGUUCCUCAUGUCUCUAUUACUAAAUCUCCAAAUAUCUCAUGGAAGGAACUUGGUCCAUUAGCCAAAGCAUGGAGUGCAACAGAUCAAGACCAACUCUCCACAGAAGGUGUUACCAAACGAACUGUGAAUUGUAAGACUACUGGUUACCCACAAUAUCACACAGAAAUAUGUGAAGAUGCCCCUCCCAUAGAUCCUGACCCAGAUGUUCCCCAUGACUGUUUUGAACAGAUGAAGAUGGAAACAGCCCACCUUCCUACAGUACAUGAAACGGCUUUGCCAGAUCCUGACUGCACACUGUUUGUGGAUGGCUCCAGAUUUGCGGAUGAACAAGGAAGAUACCACACUGGAUUUGCAGUGACCACAGUAGAUCAGGUACUUCAAGCAUCCCCACUUCCCCCGUCUAUGUCUGCUCAAGAAGCGGAACUAAAAGCCCUCACUGUAGCAUGCCAAAUGUUUGAAGGGAAACGUGUUAAUAUUUACACGGAUUCAAGAUAUGCCCUGGGCGUAGCACACGAUUUUGGAUUAAUAUGGAAAACAAGAGGUUUUCUGACAGCAACCGGUACACCAGUUAAACAUGGUACAGCUAUCAAGGAAUUGAUGGAUGCUUUACUCCUUCCUGAAGAAGUGGCCAUACUGAAAGUAAAAGCCCAUGGAAGACGGAAUUCGGAAGAAACAUAUGGCAAUCAUAAAGCUGACCAAGCCGCCAAAGAUGCUGCAUGUCAAUCAAGGGAAGUGGACAGAAGAGUGUCCGGUAAGGAAAUUCCUAUUUUUCCCAUGCAAACCUUACCUACAGACCUCAAGUUUUUGAAAGAACAGCAAGCAGCUGUAAGUCCUGAAGAAAAGCAAAGCUGGAAACAGAAAGGAGCAACCUUGCAGGAUGGAGUAUAUACUAGCAAUCUCAAAUUUUGUCUACCUAAAUGUAUGUAUCCGGCUGUGGUUCAGUGGGCCCACGGAGCAGCGCACUUGUCUAAGACACUCAUGAACUCUUUAAUUGCUAAAUAUUUUGAAGCACCAGGUAUUACCACUCUGACUAAAACCUACUGUAAGUCUUGUGCUAUCUGUGCCAAGUGCAAUCCGGGAAAAUUGGAGAAAGUGUUCCCCAAACACCUGGCGAAGCCACACUACCCAUUCCAGAGAGUCCAAAUUGACCACAUUCAGAUGCCAAAGAGUGGCCGGUAUGAAUAUGCCCUAGUUAUGGUGGACAUGUUCUCAGGAUGGCCAGAAGCUUUCCCGGUCACUAAUAUGACCGCCAAGACCACUGCCAAGCGGUUGCUCACUGAAAUUGUCUGUAGAUAUGGAGUUCCUGAAGUAAUUGAAAGUGACCAGGGCCCGGCUUUUACAGCACUAGUGACUAAGGAAGUCUGGGCAGCACUCGGGGUGACCCUUGCAUUCCACACACCCUAUCACCCACAAAGUAGUGGUAAGGUAGAACGCAUGAAUGGCACCUUAAAAGCCAGAAUGCUUAAGAUGGCCCAAGAAACUAACCUGCCCUGGCCAGAGAGUCUCCCAAUAGCUCUGUUUAGUGUUAGGUACACACCAAGAGGGAAGUUUAACCUGUCUCCUUAUGAGAUUUUGUUCGGUUCAGCCCCUAGGUUAGGUUGUUACUUUCCUCAACAACUCCAACUGCAAUCAGAUACUAUGGUUAAUUAUGUGACUGCUCUUUCCCAAGUUUUAAACAAGAUACAUGCCCAAGUGUUUUCUUCCAUUCCAGAUCCAGAGUCCGAUACAGGCACACACAAGUUGCUCCCUGGUGAUUGGGUUUUGGUUAAGAAGUUCCUGAGAAAACAUACCCUUGAACCCAGAUAUGAUGGUCCGUUCCAAGUCCUUCUAACCACGACUACCUCAGUUAAAUUGGCUGGAAAGAACUCUUGGAUACACGCUUCACAUUGCAAGAAAGUCCCAGAUCCAGAGGAAGCAGAUCCUGUUACAUCAUGAAUUUUGUGUAUUUGUUCUUGCUGCUAGGUCUGAUAAAGGCCCAACAAGUUGCUAUAACCAAAGACAAUCAUGUUUAUACAUUUUGGUACAAUUCCUCUAGUACACGGGUAGCCACAUUUGCAUUUGAUUAUUGUGAUAUUGUAAAUUGUACAUUUCCACCAGCAUUGUUGUCAACAGUGUACAAAGACAUACCUAACAUUAAGAACCCAUACAUAUGUGUGACUGAUGACUACUGGGGAUAUGAGUGUAGCUCAUGGAAGGCAGUAGGUUGGAAUACAGGGCCAGCUUGGGGCUAUAAACCACAAAGUGCCUUAGACAGAUUAGAUACAAAUGGGAAGUCCUUACUGAAAAGAAUGACGUUCAGGAAACCAGGGGGGGCGACACCUAUGAAACUAGCUUUAAACAUAGAGCAUCCCAGUCCUGGAGAUGCUGGGCAAUAUGUAAUGGGAAUGUACUGGAAGGGAGGAGGUUCAUACAAUAAACAGGGGACCUUUUACUUACGGGACAUGUAUGACGCACCUGAAUGGGUAGGUGCCACGCACAUGACUAUUAAUCCUCUUAGGCCACAUAUCAAAACUCUAAAAGAGAUGAUAGCUAUAGCUAACCACACGUAUGAGGACACUAUGGCUGUAGAGACGGGUUUCUCUGACACUAACUUAUGGCUUGAGUGGAUGAAAUAUAACGCUAACAAACACAACAGAUCUAACUGCUAUGUCUGUGGAGGAGCGAGGCCUCACUUAGGUACUGUCCCUUUGAACAUACCUCCGGAGAUAGAGAUGUGUUUCCUAAGUCUCUAUACUAUACUUAAAACUGACCGGACGGAAUGUGAAUCAUGGGUAAAGGAAUACCCAAUUAUCCUUAAAGAUGUUAAGCCAGAUAAAGGUAUCACCAUAUACCCAGGUAACUACACUUGUUAUGGUAUAUAUGAUGGGGUAGGCCAAUUCUUUGGUAAUUUCACUGGCAAGUACUGUGCCACAUAUAGCCUAAUUCCACCCGCCCUAAUCCAACAACAAAUAAGAUCCCUUGGAGACAUAUAUUGGAUUUGUGGGGAUAUGCAGAUUAGAACCAGAUUGGAAGGCGUAUGGUGGGGAGAAUGUGCCCUAGCUAAGGUAAUUAUGCCUAUACACAUAAUCUCUGAUGGACACCAAGAUAACCCAGGUACAUCACACCAAUACUCUAGAAUAAAGAGAGAUACUCCUGUAAAAGGCAGUUUUGAUCCUCAUAUUUACAUAGAUGCCAUAGGAGUGCCAAGGGGGGUGCCGAAUGAGUUUAAAGCAAGAGAUGAAGUGUCCGCAGGGUUCGAAUCUAUUUUCCCAAUCAUCACGGCCAAUAAAAAUUUAAAUUGGAUCAAUUACAUCUAUUAUAACCAACAACGUUUUGUAAAUUAUACAAGAGAUGCCCUCCAAGGUUUGGCGGAACAAUUACAAGCUACUUCCCAGAUGACCUUCCAGAAUAGAAUGGCCUUAGACAUGAUCCUGGCGGAGAAAGGGGGAGUAUGUAAAAUACUCCCAGACACCAUGACAUGCUGUACCUAUAUUCCAGAUAAUACAGGCCCUAAUGGUAAGGUAACGUUGGCAAUAGAAAAGUUAAAGAGUUUGUCCAAUGAACUGAAACGAAAUUCUGGGGCCACAGAUCCAUGGGAAAGAUGGUUUGGAUGGAUGUCUGGAUGGCAAGGUGCUUUGGCCCAAAUAGGUGUUGCCAUUUUAAUAACGAUAAUCAUCCUCGCUCUUCUUGUUUGUUGUGUGUUACCCUGUCUUAAGAAAUGCCUACAAAAGACAGUUGAUCAGACAAUCGACCAGACCACCCCGACCUUCCUUCACCAAGAGAUUGACGAUAUCGACCGUGAUACACCACAUACACCCUUACAGUCCCACCGCACUAAAUCAACAGCUACUUCCUCUUAAGGACAUGUAGGGAUAGCGUCUGUCUCUACGGGCAGAAGUCUGCCGCGGGAGAAGUAGUGGACAAGCUGCUAUGGGGUACCCGCGCAGUGAAGUGUUCGAGGCCUGUUCAGACAGAUGUGCAAGAUAGCCUUUUGUUAUUUUUCUAUAGGGACAGUAUUAGAAUGAGAGAUAUUAGUUUUAGUAAAAAUUGCCAUUUUAAGGGGGGACUGUUAUGGACAGAUGAAUUAAAAUAAAAUGGCUAUUUACUAAUGUCUAUUUAUUCUCUGUUCACUAUGUUAAAACUGGCUUCUAGAGUAAAUAUUCCCUUCCCCCCCUACAAUGUGG